GAGUUUGAUUAUGGCUCAGAUUGAACGCUGGCGGCAGGCCUAACACAUGCAAGUCGAGCGGUAACAGAUCUAGCUUGCUAGAUGCUGACGAGCGGCGGACGGGUGAGUAAUGCAUAGGAAUCUGCCCGAUAGUGGGGGAUAACCUGGGGAAACCCAGGCUAAUACCGCAUACGUCCUACGGGAGAAAGGGGGCUUUGGCUCCCGCUAUUGGAUGAGCCUAUGUCGGAUUAGCUAGUUGGUAGGGUAAAGGCCUACCAAGGCAACGAUCCGUAGCUGGUCUGAGAGGAUGAUCAGCCACAUCGGGACUGAGACACGGCCCGAACUCCUACGGGAGGCAGCAGUGGGGAAUAUUGGACAAUGGGGGCAACCCUGAUCCAGCCAUGCCGCGUGUGUGAAGAAGGCCUUAGGGUUGUAAAGCACUUUCAGCGAGGAAGAACGCCUAGUGGUUAAUACCCAUUAGGAAAGACAUCACUCGCAGAAGAAGCACCGGCUAACUCCGUGCCAGCAGCCGCGGUAAUACGGAGGGUGCAAGCGUUAAUCGGAAUUACUGGGCGUAAAGCGCGCGUAGGUGGCUUUAUAAGCCGGUUGUGAAAGCCCCGGGCUCAACCUGGGAACGGCAUCCGGAACUGUGAGGCUAGAGUACAGGAGAGGAAGGUAGAAUUCCCGGUGUAGCGGUGAAAUGCGUAGAGAUCGGGAGGAAUACCAGUGGCGAAGGCAGCCACCUGGGUCAACACUGACGCUCAUGUACGAAAGCGUGGGGAGCAAACGGGAUUAGAUACCCCGGUAGUCCACGCCGUAAACGAUGUCUACUAGAAGCUCGGAGCCUCGGUUCUGUUUUUCAAAGCUAACGCAUUAAGUAGACCGCCUGGGGAGUACGGCCGCAAGGUUAAAACUCAAAUGAAUUGACGGGGGCCCGCACAAGCGGUGGAGCAUGUGGUUUAAUUCGAUGCAACGCGAAGAACCUUACCUACCCUUGACAUCUAUAGAAGAUUGCAGAGAUGCGAUUGUGCCUUCGGGAACUAUAAGACAGGUGCUGCAUGGCUGUCGUCAGCUCGUGUUGUGAAAUGUUGGGUUAAGUCCCGUAACGAGCGCAACCCUUGUCCUUAUUUGCCAGCGAGUAAUGUCGGGAACUCUAAGGAGACUGCCGGUGACAAACCGGAGGAAGGUGGGGACGACGUCAAGUCAUCAUGGCCCUUACGGGUAGGGCUACACACGUGCUACAAUGGCCGGUACAAAGGGCUGCGAGCUCGCGAGAGUCAGCGAAUCCCUUAAAGCCGGUCUCAGUCCGGAUCGGAGUCUGCAACUCGACUCCGUGAAGUCGGAAUCGCUAGUAAUCGUGAAUCAGAAUGUCACGGUGAAUACGUUCCCGGGCCUUGUACACACCGCCCGUCACACCAUGGGAGUGGACUGCACCAGAAGUGGUUAGCCUAACGCAAGAGGGCGAUCACCACGGUGUGGUUCAUGACUGGGGUGAAGUCGUAACAAGGUAACC
rnacentral:rRNA from 1 species